CCAGAGAUGGCGGGCCUCCGUGCCCCCGUCCCCAACCCAUUGUUGACCAAAACCAUUUUGCCUCGGGGGCAGAGCGUCCGCCGCCGCCCCCGGAGGACCAUCGAACGCUGUCUCUUUACGUCUGAGUAUUGAUUAAAUGAAUGA
rnacentral:misc_RNA from 1 species